rnacentral:rRNA from 1 species
UACGAAGGGGGCUAGCGUUGCUCGGAAUCACUGGGCGUAAAGCGCACGUAGGCGGAUUGUUAAGUCAGGGGUGAAAUCCUGGAGCUCAACUCCAGAACUGCCUUUGAUACUGGCGAUCUUGAGUCCGGGGAGAGGUGAGUGGAACUGCGAGUGUAGAGGUGAAAUUCGUAGAUAUUCGCAAGAACACCAGUGGCGAAGGCGGACUCACUGGCC